CUCCAAUAGCGUAUAUUAAAGUUGUUGCAGUUAAAAAGCUCGUAGUUGAAUUUCGGGAUCAAUAUUUCGGUCAUGCCGUUGGUAUGCACUGUUAUCAUUGAUUUCUCACCUUCUAAAGAACCGUAAUGCCAUUAAUUUGGUGUUACGGGGAAUUAGGACUGUUACCUUGAAAAAAUUAGAGUGUUUAAAGCAGGCUCACGCUUGAAUACAUUAGCAUGGAAUAAUGAAAUAGGACAUCCGAUUCUAUUUUGUUGGUUUCUAGGAUCGAUGUAAUGAUUAAUAGGGAUUAGUUGGGGGCAUUAGUAUUCAAAUUGUCAGAGGUGAAAUUCUUGGAUUUAUUGAAGACUAACUACUGCGAAAGCAUUUGCCAAGGAUGUUUUCAUUAAUCAAGAACGAAAGUUAGGGGAUCGAAGACGAUCAGAUACCGUCGUAGUCUUAACCAUAAACUAUGCCGACUAGGGAUCGGAUGAUGUUAAUUUUUAAUGACUCAUUCGGCGCCUUACG
rnacentral:rRNA from 1 species